GAGGGUAUAGCUCAGUGGUGUAGUGUGUGUUUAGCAUGCAUGAGGUCCUGGGCUCAAUCCCCAGUACCUCCA
rfam:Camelus ferus unplaced genomic scaffold scaffold607, whole genome shotgun sequence.